rnacentral:ncRNA from 1 species
GACCAAUGUAGGUAAGGGAAGUCGGCAAAACGGAUCCGUAACCUUGGCAUAAGGAUUGGCUCUGAGGACUGAGCCGGUCGGGCUGGGGACCUGAAGCAGGAACGGCACUGCACCGGGACUGGGCGGGGCUCGCCGUUCACGGGGCGCGGCCAAGCCCGGACCAGCGUCGGGACCUUCCUGUGGAAAGCCUCAGCUGCGCGGCGUCCGAGGGCUUCGUGCCCAAAGUGCUAUGCUUCGGCCGGCAAAAAGCAGUCAACUCAGAACUGGCACUGACCGGGGGAAUCCGACUGUCUAAUUAAAACAAAGCAUUGCGAUGGCCGCUGGUCGGUGUUGACGCAAUGUGAUUUCUGCCCAGUGCUCUGAAUGUCAACGUGAAGAGAUUCAUCAAAGCGCGGGUAAACGGCGGGAGUAACUAUGACUCUCUUGAGUCAUAGUUACUUAAGAACCCUGCUGCCCUCCCGUCAGACUUCCGUCCUAUCACCGUGGGUCCGGUCCUCCAGCGGCUCUUCCAUAAGAUCCUGGCUAAGCGGGUCAUGGCCGCGGCACCUCUGGACUUCCGGCAACGUGCGUUCCAGCCGGUGGAUGGGUGUGCGGAGAACAUCCUGCUGCUGUCUACCGUACUGGAUGAGGCCCGCUGCAGGCUGCGCCCUCUUCAUCUGGCCAGUGUGGAUCUCGCGAAAGCCUUUGACCGGGUGACGACGGAGGCCAUCUUGCGUGGAGCACUACGAGCUGGCUUCGAUGACGCCUUCCUGGCGUACCUCCGGGAACUCUACGCCACUUCGUACACUACUCUUCAGUACGGAGCG